rnacentral:rRNA from 1 species
GUGGGGAAUAUUGCACAAUGGGCGAAAGCCUGAUGCAGCAACGCCGCGUGGGGGAUGAAGGCCUUCGGGUUGUAAACCUCUUUUAGCAGGGAAGAAGCGAAAGUGACGGUACCUGCAGAAAAAGCACCGGCUAACUACGUGCCAGCAGCCGCGGUAAUACGUAGGGUGCAAGCGUUAUCCGGAAUUAUUGGGCGUAAAGAGCUCGUAGGCGGUCUGUCGCGUCUGCUGUGAAAACCCGAGGCUCAACCUCGGGCCUGCAGUGGGUACGGGCAGACUAGAGUGCGGUAGGGGAGACUGGAAUUCCUGGUGUAGCGGUGGAAUGCGCAGAUAUCAGGAGGAACACCGAUGGCGAAGGCAGGUCUCUGGGCCGUAACUGACGCUGAGGAGCGAAAGCGUGGGGAGCGAACAGGAUUAGAAACCCUUGUAGUCC